CCUACGGGAGGCAGCAGUGAGGAAUAUUGGUCAAUGGGCGUAAGCCUGAACCAGCCAAGUCGCGUGAGGGAUGAAGGCUCUAUGGAUCGUAAACCUCUUUUAUAAAGGAAUAAAGUGUGGGACGUGUCCUGUUUUGUAUGUACCUUAUGAAUAAGGAUCGGCUAACUCCGUGCCAGCAGCCGCGGUAAUACGGAGGAUCCGAGCGUUAUCCGGAUUUAUUGGGUUUAAAGGGUGCGUAGGCGGCCGUUUAAGUCAGCGGUGAAAGUCUGUGGCUCAACCAUAGAAUUGCCGUUGAGACUGGGAGGCUUGAGUAUGGUUGAGGCAGGCGGAAUGCGUGGUGUAGCGGUGAAAUGCUUAGAGAUCACGCAGAACCCCGAUUGCGAAGGCAGCCUGCCAAGCCAUGACUGACGCUGAUGCACGAAAGCGUGGGGAUCAAACAGGAUUAGAUACCCCAGUAGUC
rnacentral:rRNA from 1 species